rnacentral:lncRNA from 1 species
UUGAUCUAUUAAAUUUGUUGCCUUUUUGCUAGUUAAAAAGUUGGGGAUACUGGACCCUGAAGCUUGAUUCCAGUUCUCAAGUGGCCUCUUCCUGUGCAUGGUUCAGCCAUAGGACCUUGAUGAAUAAAAUUUCUCGGUUGCGGAGUUCUAUACUCUUUCGUUCUACAAUGCCUAUCAGUACCUCCUCAUAGGAUAGAUCCACCUGGAGUAAAAGGGGCUCGUGGGACAAGAUGUGUGAGGGGUAUGAGUUGUACUUGCAUAACAU